rnacentral:rRNA from 1 species
GAUGAACGCUGGCGGCGUGCCUAAUACAUGCAAGUCGAGCGAACAGACGAGGAGCUUGCUCCUCUGACGUUAGCGGCGGACGGGUGAGUAACACGUGGAUAACCUACCUAUAAGACUGGGAUAACUUCGGGAAACCGGAGCUAAUACCGGAUAAUAUAUUGAACCGCAUGGUUCAAUAGUGAAAGACGGUUUUGCUGUCACUUAUAGAUGGAUCCGCGCCGCAUUAGCUAGUUGGUAAGGUAACGGCUUACCAAGGCAACGAUGCGUAGCCGACCUGAGAGGGUGAUCGGCCACACUGGAACUGAGACACGGUCCAGACUCCUACGGGAGGCAGCAGUAGGGAAUCUUCCGCAAUGGGCGAAAGCUUGACGGAGCAACGCCGCGUGAGUGAUGAAGGUCUUCGGAUCGUAAAACUCUGUUAUUAGGGAAGAACAAUUGUGUAAGUAACUAUGCACGUCUUGACGGUACCUAAUCAGAAAGCCACGGCUAACUACGUG